AGCACAGAGAGUCGUUGACUAGAGAUGAUACGCCGUCUCAUGGCGGUCACUUCCUGUCAGCGUUACAGAUCAGAAGCACAGAGAGUCGUUGACUAGAGAUGAUACGCCGUCUCAUGGCGGUCACUUCCUGUCGACGUUACAGAUCAGAAGCACAGAGAGUCGUUGACUAGAGAUGAUACGCCGUCUCAUGGCGGUCACUUCCUGUCAGCGUUACAGAUCAGAAGCACAGAGAGUCGUUGACUAGAGAUGAUACGCCGUCUCAUGGUGGUCACUUCCUGUCAACGUUACAGAUCAGAAGCACAGAGAGUUGUUGACUAGAGAUGAUACGCCGUCUCAUGGUGGUCACUUCCUGUCGACGUUACAGAUCAGAAGCACAGAGAGUUGUUGACUAGAGAUGAUACGCCGUCUCAUGGUGGUCACUUCCUGUCGACGUUACAGAUCAGAAGCACAGAGAGUUGUUGACUAGAGAUGAUACGCCGUCUCAUGGUGGUCACUUCCUGUCAACGUUACAGAUCAGAAGCACAGAGAGUUGUUGACUAGAGAUGAUACGCCGUCUCAUGGUGGUCACUUCCUGUCAACGUUACAGAUCAGAAGCACAGAGAGUCGUUGACUAGAGAUGAUACGCCGUCUCAUGGUGGUCACUUCCUGUCAACGUUACAGAUCAGAAGCACAGAGAGUCGUCGACUAGAGAUGAUACGCCGUCUCAUGGUGGUCACUUCCUGUCGACGUUACAGAUCAGAAGCACAGAGAGUCGUCAACUAGAGAUGAUACGCCGUCUCAUGGCGGUCACUUCCUGUCAACGUUACAGAUCAGAAGCACAGAGAGUCGUCAACUAGAGAUGAUACGCCGUCUCAUGGUGGUCACUUCCUGUCAACGUUACAGAUCAGAAGCACAGAGAGUCGUCGACUAGAGAUGAUACGCCGUCUCAUGGUGGUCACUUCCUGUGAACCAGCAGCUUUUUACAACGUUACAGAACGGAGCGUUGACAGUAGUUGUUUGUUUCAACCCAUCUCGUUGUCAGUCUGAGCUGGACUUUGGAUGUCACUAAGUUCUACAAACUGGACCUUUUAAUCAUUUCUUCAAUUACUUAGAAAGAGCACUGCGACCUUUGACCUCCACCACAGCAGGUUCAGACUCACUAUCUUCACACACACUCGUUUUAGAAACUGUGUGUGUGUGUGUGUGUGUGUGUG